rnacentral:rRNA from 1 species
CCUACGGGUGGCAGCAGUGGGGAAUAUUGCACAAUGGGCGAAAGCCUGAUGCAGCAACGCCGCGUGAACGAUGAAGGCCUUCGGGUCGGAAAGCUCUUUCUUCACGGAAGAUAAUCACGGUACUUGUAGAGCAAGCCACGUCUAGCUACGUUCCGGCAGCGGCGGUAAUACGUAGGGGGCUAGCGUUAUCCGGAAUUACUGGGCGUAAAGGGGGCUUAGGUGGUUUUCAAAGUCGGAGGUGAAAGUCUAAGGCUCAACCGGACUAGGCCUCUGGAAAUGGGGAACUUGAGUGCAGGAAAGGCGGGUGGAAUUCGUAGUGUAGCGGUGAAAUGCGUAGAUAUGACGAGGAACACCAGUUGCGAAGGCGGCUUGCUGGAGCGUAACUGACACUGAUGCUCGAAAGCGCGGGGAUCGAACAGGAUUAGAUACCCUAGUAGUC